UAAGAUAAGGAUGCUGCUUGACA
rnacentral:siRNA from 1 species